rnacentral:misc_RNA from 1 species
UUUCCGUAGGUGAACCUGCGGAAGGAUCAUUACUGAGUGAGGGCCCCUCGGGGUCCAACCUCCCACCCGUGUUUAACGAACCUUGUUGCUUCGGCGGGCCCGCCUCACGGCCGCCGGGGGGCAUUUGCCCCCGGGCCCGCGCCCGCCGAAGCCACCUGUGAACGCAGUCUGAAGUAUGCAGUCUGAGACAAUUAUUAAAUUAAUUAAAACUUUCAACAACGGAUCUCUUGGUUCCG